rnacentral:rRNA from 1 species
CAGCCGCCGCGGUAACACGUAGGUGGCAAGCGUUGUCCGGAAUUAUUGGGCGUAAAGGGCUCGCAGGCGGUUUCUUAAGUCUGAUGUGAAAGCCCCCGGCUCAACCGGGGAGGGUCAUUGGAAACUGGGAAACUUGAGUGCAGAAGAGGAGAGUGGAAUUCCACGUGUAGCGGUGAAAUGCGUAGAGAUGUGGAGGAACACCAGUGGCGAAGGCGACUCUCUGGUCUGUAACUGACGCUGAGGAGCGAAAGCGUGGGGAGCGAACAGGAUUAGAUACCCGGGUAGUCCCUGUCUCUUAUCA